UACGUAGGCAGCAAGCGUUGUUCGGAGUUACUGGGCGUAAAGGGUGUGUAGGCGGUUGUUUAAGUUUGGUGUGAAAUCUCCCGGCUCAACUGGGAGAGUGCGCCGAAUACUGAAUGACUUCGAGUGCGGGAGAGGAAAGUGGAAUUCCUGGUGUAGCGGUGAAAUGCGUAGAUAUCAGGAGGAACACCGGUGGUGUAGACGGCUUUCUGGACCGUAACUGACGCUGAGACACGAAAGCGUGGGUAGCAAACAGG
rnacentral:rRNA from 1 species